rnacentral:rRNA from 1 species
CUACGGGUUGCAGCAGGUAGGAAUCUUCUACAAUGCACGCAAGUGUGAUAGAGUGAGCCAGAGUGCUUUUCAAUUUGAAAAGCUUUUGUGAAAUGUAAAAAGUUUCACGAAUAAGGACUGGGUAAGACUAGUGCCAGCCGCCGCGGUAAUACUAGCGGUCCAAGUCGCAGCCAUAAUUAUUGGGUCUAAAACAUCCGUAGCUUGUUUAGUAAGUUUCCUGUGAAAUCCGGCCUCUCAAGGGUUGGGCGCGCAGGAAGUACUACUGAGCUAGAGACUGGAAGACGUAAGAAGUACAAUCAAAGUAGCGGUAAAAUGUGUUAAUCUUGGUUGGACUAACAAGAGCGAAGGCAUCUUACGAGUACAGUUCUGACAGUAAGGGAUGAAGGCUAGGGGCGCAAAACGGAUUAGAUACCCGGGUAGUC